UUUCGGCGUGACUCCAAUUGAACCGCAGGCUUCACCCCUUGUGGUGCUCCCCCGCCAAUUCCUUUAAGUUUCAUACUUGCGUACGUACUUCCCAGGCGGCAAACUUAACGGCUUCCCUGCAGCACUGCAUUGGCCACAAGCCAAUGCAUCACUGAGUUUGUAUAGUUUACAGCUGGGACUACCCGGGUAUCUAAUCCGGUUUGCUCCCCCAGCUUUCAUCCCUCACCGUCGGACGUGUUCUGGUAGACCGCCUUCGCCACAGGUGGUCAUCAAUAGAUCAAAGGAUUUUACCCCUUCCUACCGAGUACCGUCUACCUCUCCCACUCCCUAGCUCUGCAGUAUUCCCGGCAGCCUAUACGUUGAGCGUAUAGAUUUAACCGAAAACUUACAGAGCCGGCUACGGAUGCUUUAGGCCCAAUAAUCAUCCUGACCACUUGAGGUGCUGGUUUUACCGCGGCGGCUGACACCAGAACUUGCCCACCCCUUAUUCAACAGUGUUUCUAGGACUGUCAAAAGGUUCCUUUAGCAGAAACCACUCGGAUUAACCUUGUCGUGCUUUCGCACAUUGCAAAGUUUUCUCGCCUGCUGCGCCCCAUAGGGCCUGGGUCCGUGUCUCAGCACCCAUCUCCGGGCCACUCCUCUCAGAGCCUGUACCUGUAAUAGUCUUGGUGGGCCAUUACCUCACCAACAAACUGAUAGGCCGCAGUCCCAUCCUACGGCGAUAAAUCAUUUGGAACAUAAACCAUUCCAGGCAUAAUGUUCUAUCGGGCAUUAUUCUCAGUUUCCCGAGGUUAUUCCCGUCCAUAGGGUAGGUUGACUACGCGUUACUGAGCCGUCUGCCUUGUAUUGCUACAAUGACUCGCAUGGCUUAGUAUCAAUCCGAUAGCAGUCA
rnacentral:rRNA from 1 species